rnacentral:rRNA from 1 species
UACGGAGGGGGCUAGCGUUGUUCGGAAUUACUGGGCGUAAAGCGCACGUAGGCGGACUGGAAAGUCAGAGGUGAAAUCCCGGGGCUCAACCCCGGAACUGCCUUUGAAACUCCCGGUCUUGAGGUCGAGAGAGGUGAGUGGAAUUCCGAGUGUAGAGGUGAAAUUCGUAGAUAUUCGGAGGAACACCAGUGGCGAAGGCGGCUCACUGGCUCGAUACUGACGCUGAGGUGCGAAAGCGUGGGGAGCAAACAGG